AAGGAAGCCGCAAGCAAUGGUGUCUGUUUGGACUUAAUAGGGAAUCUGGUGUGAAUCCAGAACUGCCCCCGCAACUGUCAGUGCAGACGAAAUGGGAGUGCCACUGUAUAUGAAAGCUUUAUCGGCGCGUAUACGGGAAGGGACCAAAGUAGGAAGAAGCACGAGUCAGGAGACCUGCCUUGCUUGUUUCGUUUCA
rnacentral:ncRNA from 1 species